AGAGUUUGGAUCCUGGCUCAGAUUGAACGCUGGCGGCAGGCCUAACACAUGCAAGUCGAGCGCGAAAGCCUUUCGGGGUGAGUAGAGCGGCGGACGGGUGAGUAACGCGUAGGAAUCUACCUGGUAGUGGGGGACAACUUGGGGAAACCCAAGCUAAUACCGCAUACGCCCUAAGGGGGAAAGCGGGGGAUCUUCGGACCUCGCGCUAUUGGAUGAGCCUGCGUAGGAUUAGCUUGUUGGUGAGGUAAAGGCUCACCAAGGCGACGAUCCUUAGCUGGUCUGAGAGGAUGAUCAGCCACACUGGAACUGAGACACGGUCCAGACUCCUACGGGAGGCAGCAGUGGGGAAUAUUGCGCAAUGGGGGCAACCCUGACGCAGCCAUGCCGCGUGUGUGAAGAAGGCCUUAGGGUUGUAAAGCACUUUCAAUUGGGAAGAAAAGCUGCAGGUUAAUAGCCUGUAGCCCUGACAUUACCAUUAGAAGAAGCACCGGCUAACUCCGUGCCAGCAGCCGCGGUAAUACGGGGGGUGCGAGCGUUAAUCGGAAUUACUGGGCGUAAAGCGCGCGUAGGCGGUUUGUUAAGUCAGCUGUGAAAGCCCUGGGCUCAACCUGGGAACUGCAGUUGAUACUGGCCGACUAGAGUACGAGAGAGGGAGGUAGAAUUCCAUGUGUAGCGGUGAAAUGCGUAGAUAUAUGGAGG
rnacentral:rRNA from 1 species